UAACAGGUCUUCGGAUGCUGACGAGUGGCGAACGGGUGAGUAAUACAUCGGAACGUGCCCGAGAGUGGGGGAUAACGAAGCGAAAGCUUUGCUAAUACCGCAUACGAUCUCAGGAUGAAAGCAGGGGACCGCAAGGCCUUGCGCUCACGGAGCGGCCGAUGGCAGAUUAGGUAGUUGGUGGGAUAAAAGCUUACCAAGCCGACGAUCUGUAGCUGGUCUGAGAGGACGACCAGCCACACUGGGACUGAGACACGGCCCAGACUCCUACGGGAGGCAGCAGUGGGGAAUUUUGGACAAUGGGCGCAAGCCUGAUCCAGCCAUGCCGCGUGCAGGAUGAAGGCCUUCGGGUUGUAAACUGCUUUUGUACGGAACGAAAAGACUCUGGUUAAUACCUGGGGUCCAUGACGGUACCGUAAGAAUAAGCACCGGCUAACUACGUGCCAGCAGCCGCGGUAAUACGUAGGGUGCGAGCGUUAAUCGGAAUUACUGGGCGUAAAGCGUGCGCAGGCGGUUAUGUAAGACAGAUGUGAAAUCCCCGGGCUCAACCUGGGAACUGCAUUUGUGACUGCGUAGCUAGAGUACGGCAGAGGGGGAUGGAAUUCCGCGUGUAGCAGUGAAAUGCGUAGAUAUGCGGAGGAACACCGAUGGCGAAGGCAAUCCCCUGGGCCUGUACUGAC
rnacentral:rRNA from 1 species